rnacentral:snRNA from 1 species
AUCACUUCUUGGCCUUUUGGCUAAGAUCAAGCGUAGUAU